CAGCGACGCUGGCGGCGGCUUUACACAUGCAGUCGAGGCGGCAUCUGGAUUCCAUUUCCGCUGGCGACCGGCGCGCGGGUGACUUACACCUAUUCACCUUCCGAUAACUCGGGGAUAUCCUUUCGAAAGAAACAUUAAUACUCGAUAGUAUGUUUUCUUCCCAUGUUGAGAACAUUAAAGAAUUUUUGUUAUCGAUGGGGCUGCGUUCUAUUUUGCUGUUGGGGGGGUGACGCCCCACCGCAACUACGAUGGAUAGGGGUGAAAAGAAGAACGUCCCCCACGGGAGAACUGCAACACGGUCCCUCUCCUACGGGAGGCAGUGUGAGGAGGUUGGUCAAUGAAAACCCUGACCCCCCCCCCCCCGUGUGAGAGAUGACUGCCCUAUGUGUUGUCUCUUCUUUUAUAUGGAAAAUGGUGCGCCACGUGUGGUGUUUUGUAUGUACCAUUAUGAAUAACCGUCCGCUAACUCCCUGCCCCCCCCCCACGGUA
rnacentral:rRNA from 1 species